rnacentral:tRNA from 1 species
GGCCGCAGGAAUCAACGGGUAUAUCCUUCCC